UAAAUAAGCAGAGGAAAAGAAACUAACUAGGAUUCCCUCAGUAAGGGCGACUGAACAGGGAGAAGCACAAGUUGAUAAUCGGUGUGUAUAACACUGAAUUGUGGUCUUAAAACUAUCAUUCUAAAAGUUGGAAGAAGUUCUCUUGGAAUAGAGCGGCAUAGAGGGUGACACCCCCGUUCUUCUGACUUGUGCAUUGGUAGUUAACGAGUCGAGUUGCUUGGGAUUGCAGCUCAAAGUGGGUGGUAAAUUCCAUCUAAUGCUAAAUACCAAAGAGAUACCGAUAGCAAACAAGUACCGUGAGGGAAAGAUGCAAAGAACUUUGAAAAGAGAGUUAAAAAGUACCUGAAAUUGCUGAAAUUAAAGAGAAGAGAACCAGUGUUAGACACUGUCGCUUUUUCCUCUUUGCUUGCAGAGAGGGCGCUGUGGCAUUGUUGCCGUCUUGCCAUAACUAAUUUGAUGGAAGAUUAUGCAGUGUAUUUUUACUCUGUGUGUAAUUCAUUGAGUUGGUUUUGGACAGACAAAAUGGUUUUUUUUCUUCCCG
rnacentral:rRNA from 1 species